ACGAACGCUGGCGGCGUGCUUAACACAUGCAAGUCGAACGGAAAGGCCCUGCUUUUGUGGGGUGCUCGAGAGGCGAACGGGUGAGUAACACGUGAGUAACCUGCCCUUGACUUUGGGAUAACUUCAGGAAACUGGGGCUAAUACCGGAUAGGAGCUCCUGCUGCAUGGUGGGGGUUGGAAAGUUUCGGCGGUUGGGGAUGGACUCGCGGCUUAUCAGCUUGUUGGUGGGGUAGUGGCUUACCAAGGCUUUGACGGGUAGCCGGCCUGAGAGGGUGACCGGCCACAUUGGGACUGAGAUACGGCCCAGACUCCUACGGGAGGCAGCAGUGGGGAAUAUUGCACAAUGGGCGGAAGCCUGAUGCAGCAACGCCGCGUGCGGGAUGACGGCCUUCGGGUUGUAAACCGCUUUCGCCUGUGACGAAGCGUGAGUGACGGUAAUGGGUAAAGAAGCACCGGCUAACUACGUG
rnacentral:rRNA from 1 species